GGGUAGUUUCGCGAGUAUAUCCAAUUCGUAGCCGGGAACGCUUCUCAUUUCCUAGGUACUAGACCGCUCGUAAUUUUCCAAUUUCCUACCGAGUCCUGGCCUCCACCUACUACUACUACUAUUACCAUUACCAGGUCCUAGCCUACGCUUUCCCUUUCCUCGUUGUGGGAGGAUCGUUCUCCGCACCUCUCUCAACGGAUUCUGGAAUUGUCGUUAAACGGAAAAACCAAGGUUCAAAAUCGUUGGUGCAACAGGUGCGCUCCUUUAAGAAACCGCGUCGCGGAAAACGCGUUCCCUCUUGUUAACGUCUUGUUGACGUCACCACGCGUUGGCCUCGCCGUUGCUCGAAGAAAGAAAGAGAGAAAGAAAGAAAGAAAAAGACCGAGGCUCUCGAAGGAAAAUGGGACAUCCUUCUCCUCCUUGUUAUCGGAUAUCGGCUAGCCUUUAACGAUAAUACAUACGCGGUCCACGCUCGGCUCCUCUCCCUCCUCCCCCCUCCCCCGCCACUCUCCUCCGUUUCGAUCGGUGCCAGGCCUUUGUGCAACGAGUCGCGCUCACGCUAGCCUUGUACCUAAUGACGCCUCGCCGAGAAGGGAGAAGAGCGGAGUUUCUUCCUCUCGUUCCAUCUUCUCGCCGCCGAAUCGCGCUAGAAUCAGGUUUCGAUUAGUCCAGGCUCGAGGGAGUCUCGUCGACGCGUGCAGGGGCGGCCGAUAUCGUCGGUGCCGCGCGUAAUAAUUAUGCACGGUAAUUUAUCCAGUUGCGCAGAGAGUGUUUUUAUCGCGGCGCGGAGACCGAGAGGCGUCGCGAGAGAGAGAGAAAACGGGGAGGAACGCGUCGCGUCCAAUCCCGAGCGCCAAUUAAACCCGUGCACUCGUCCAAGGCCAUUUUUACAUAAUACCUACGUGCAGCCUCGUCGCCGCUUACGAACGUCACCAACACCGGUGGCAAAAGGUGCAAAACGCGUUUGCGUAACGGCGGCCUUCGCGGACGAUCCAUUGUUUUCGCCGCCAUGCCUCGAAAAAUCUUUUCCGAACGAUCGAUGCGACAUUUUCCGCGGCCGAAAAGGACGGGGCGGUCGCACAGAAUCGGAACGAAGCGUGGAGGGAGAUCGAUCGACGUUUCUCGAAACAGAAUCUGGAACGUUUCUUUUUUUCAAGGAGGUUUCCGAGCCGACGAGGUGUACGCGGCUUGGAAAUUACAGUCACGGUUCCUUGGUUCCGCGUCGACUCGAUGACGAGGUCCGAGAAGGCCGGCCUACUGCCUACCUUCCCCACCGACACGUUCUAAACGUCCGCGAACACAAAACGAACUUGAAAAGAUGGAACGGAGAGACAAAAAAGAGACGAGACUCGAAACGAGAGGAUUUUUUUUUCGUUGCGUGAAAUCGAGAAAAAGAGAACUCUCUCGAAAGAAAUCGAAACGCAAAAGUACGCGAGAACGCGAAAAAGCGAGAUGACAAAUUAUCGACUUCGAGUCGUUGGCGCGGAUCGAUGGAUUUCCUUCGUUCGAUCGUUUCGAGAAAGAAGAAAAAAAAAGAAAAAAAGGAAAAAAAGAAGACGGCGUUUCGCAGCGGUACGUGAGCGGACGCGCAAACCUGCCACGCUCGUCGCGAAUCCUGUCGAGAACGAUUCGAAGAAAAGGCGUUCCGCUCGCGGAGAAACGGUAAGAAAAGGAGACGAACGAAUGCAGAGGAGUACGUAUCCGCGGCGACGUUGCGGCGAACAUUCCCAAUGAGCGGCUUUGUCUUCCUCUUCGCGCGCUCGCUCACCUCCGACUAGCUAACAGUAAAGCGAGACGCGAUGCCGCGAGCUGUAUAUCGUCUUCCGAUCGGAAAUGCCUAAAACGAUCCACGCUGCGAAUGGAAAUUACGCUAACGGUAAACCGAACCAACGUCGCCCUUUGUUCGCGAAAAGAAAAAAGAAAAAAGUAAAAAAAAAGAACGAAAACCGGUAUGAAUAAACGAAUAAAAUCGAGUCGUCGACGAAUUGUCAAUUUACUGUUGCUUACUCUCAUUGCUGGAAAGAAAUUUCGUUUCUACCGCGUAUUGUACACAUAUAUCCGAAACACGACGCAUUGAGUAUCGAUAUAAUCGUAAAAAUAUUUUUAUUUCUCAUAAUAUAUGUAGGUUAAUUACGAUACAAGUUUAAUUUAUAAACAAUUAUAUCUAUAAUAAGCUAGAUACAGUACAGAUGUAUCGAAAUAAUUAAUAGUUUCGAAAAUAUUUAGAUGAAUAUCCGAAUUAUAGCUUUUCCACUAGGCACGCAGCAGCCUGUGGUGUCAGAACUGUCAACAAAGCGUCUAAAAGUGGGGAUAGGCGGUCCUAGCGAAGGCCUCCUCUUACCCCUCUGCCGUCCCGCGACACUUCUUUCCAACGGUAGAACGGUACUCGUGCACUCGUCGCUUUUCACCCGAAUAUACCUAACUUUGCCUUCGACUCGCCAACAGUUUUCGAAUCGUCGUUCGCCACGGACCGAAUUAAGACGUUCCGUUCGAGCGUCGAGAAAAGAUAAUUGGUAUCCUCGCGCGACGCAAUCGCGGUGUAUAAUUAAAAAAAGAGAAAAGAAAGGAAGAGAAAAGAAAGAAAAGACAGGCACAAGGUGCGCCCGGUUCGUCGACGCUUUACAAACGAGGCUCGUAUCGCGUAGGCCGACAUCUCGAUUAACGGACGAGCGCGAUCGUCGCGAGCGAUCGUGCGUGCCUGCCUAUAUCUUGUCACCGGUUCGCAUGCAGAAAGUCGUAGAGAAGAGGAAGAAUUUUGGAACGCGUUCAACGAUCCGUUGCCAAUCUGGCAAGGAUUUAAACGUUCUCUUCGACCGAGAGUGACACAUAGCGAAGGAUCCGAAAUUUUGACAAAUCACCCGCCGAUUGCUCGACGGAUAUGGGAGACGGAAUUCUCCUGGAGAAUUGGAAGAAAAGGAAUUUCUGGCAAGCAAAAAAGUGGCACGACCCGAGGAAAUGGGACGCGACGAGGUGUACACAGAUCCUCCCCUUCCCCUUGCGUUGAUCCACUUUCGACCAAGCCGUUUCUCAACCCUCCUCUCGCCCACGUUCUCCGCGAAUUUUUAUAAGAGAAGCUUUAUGGACGAGUCACGAUCGGUUGCCGAACGCCACACUCGAGGCCAAAGGCCUGGGAUAGCUCGUCCAGAGUGGCGAGCUUUCUAAACUCGCGGUUGCGACAUCGCAGUUGCGAGCGGCGUUUCUGCCCCUCUGCUCCUCCUCCCUCGCGCGGCAACACCGCCUCCGCGUCCACCUCCUCGUUAACUGGCGCAUUUUAUGCCGCGCCACAAUGCGCCGCUUUUCCUACGUUCAGCCGCCCACGUGCCGCGCCGACCCGCUCCCCCCUCCCUCCUCCGCUCCACCCGUGUCAUCCUCGACGCGAACGCUGCCGAUACGAACGAUCGCCGGAUUACGUGUUACGCGUGUAAUAACGUGUGUCGACCUUGGGAGAUAUGGAAAGAGAAUCGAAGGAAGGAGGAAGAGGAGGAGGCGCGAAAAGGCGAGGGAGAGAAAACACGGCGGGCGAAAGAGGAGAGGCUGCCGAAACCGAAACCGAAACCGGCCAACCUUUACCUUCACUUCGCUUUGCCGGCUGUUCCACUCGUUUCAUUCACGAAUUUCACUUUCACGGCCACGGCCAUGGCCACGCGAUUCGCGUCGCGACCGCUCCACGAUCGCCCCCGCUGCUUCUUUUCUCCUCUCCCCUCCUUCUCGCCUCGGCGCCCGUCCCAGCCUCUCGACUCGGCCGACCGAGAAAAAAUAAACCAACUCGGACCGGCCGAGGAGAAACACGCGCUUUUCCAAUUUUCGAACUUGCACGCCUUUCUUUGGAAACAUUUCCAAGGAGGAUCCAGGAGGAGGAAACGAUCCUUACUCGCUUCUAAUACUAAUACUCUGACGAUGAAUCAUCGGGAUCACCGAAUCCGUCCAUUGUUGCCGGUUCGAGGUUAAAAAACGCGCGUUAAAAAUAACACGUUUGUCCAUACGAGGCUUUCCGAUCGAGGAACGGAGUGGAGGGGAGGGACGAAAACACGAGAAGAGGGCAGUGAUUAGGCCGGUGCUAUCUGCGACCGAAGAUUAACGAGCGUCGAACCGAAUUCGGCCGAUUAUCCGAACGCAUUGGAGGCGCGAUAAGAAGGCUGGUAUGGAAGACAGGCCGGCCCGUGAACCGUGCGAGAUGCCAGCCACCGCCGAUUGCAGCACGAAAAACAGCCUCAUCCAGUUGGGCUUGGCCGCAGCGGGAGUCGCCCCCCCCAUGAAAAUAUUACCAGAAGGACCGUGGAUGGCCCCCGUACUUAGGCGCGAACCACCGGGACUACGACUCGAAAGGAUGCAGUCCUCGAGUGCCUCGUAAAUUACGGCCGUGCGUUGCACUCGCAUGUUCGCUUUGCAUCGCCUUUGCCCGAUUCCUCGGGCCCGUUCCCGAUACGUGACGCUUGUGCAAACCGUUCCCCCGAUUAUAGACACGAUUACGACUGGACGUCGCUUCGUGUUUCGUCUACCGAAAAUAUUACUUUGCUCUCUCUUCGUAAUCUCGACGGGAAGAGGAACGAACGUUUCGUCUGUUCGCUCGGUCACGUGGACAGGCAUCGAUCGAUAAUGUCGAUAAUGAAGCGGCGAACGAAUCGCGGCGCGAGAUGAGGACGAACCGUUUGGGAGAGAGAAAUGGAAGAAAGAAUGGGGCUACGGCGAAGAGAGUGCACGGAGCGAUAGCGGGUAUCGUCGAAGAAGGGCUGAAACAAAGGGAGACACGAACGCGCUUGGUAUCUCGGAUCACGUGAGGGAGCGCAAACGAAAUUCGUUCGAAGCGACUCGUUCGACUAGUUUUCAUGUUUCGUCGAUAACACGACGACAAAUUUAUUUUACCGUGAAAGCCAACCGUCGACCGUCUUCUUCGGUCCUUCGUGCAUCCUCGUCCAAACGAUAUAUAUAUUGAUAAAUAUUUAAUAAAGCACGUUUAUGCGAUAAAAUGAAAA